rnacentral:rRNA from 1 species
UACGAAGGGGGCUAGCGUUGCUCGGAAUCACUGGGCGUAAAGGGCUCGUAGGCGGCCAACUAAGUCAGACGUGAAAUCCCUCAGCUUAACUGGGGAACUGCGUCUGAUACUGGAUGGCUUGGAUUCGGGAGAGGAAUGCGGAAUUCCAGGUGUAGCGGUGAAAUGCGUAGAUAUCAAGCGGAACACCGGUGGCGAAGGCGGCCUUCUGGACAGUGACUGACGCUGAGACGCGAAAGCGUGGGGAGCAAACAGG